UACGUAGGGACCGAGCGUUGUCCGGAAUCAUUGGGCGUAAAGGGCGCGUAGGCGGCCCGCUAAGUCGAACGUGAAAUCCCCGGGCUCAACCCGGGAACUGCGUCCGAUACUGGCAGGCUUGAAUCCGGGAGAGGGAUGCGGAAUUUCGGGUGUAGCGGUGAAAUGCGCAGAUAUCCGAAGGAACACCGGUGGCGAAGGCGGCUUCCUGGACCGACACUGACGCUGAGGCGCGAAAGCUAGGGGAGCAAACGGG
rnacentral:rRNA from 1 species